GACGAACGCUGGCGGCGUGCUUAACACAUGCAAGUCGAACGGAAAGGCCCUGCUUUUGUGGGGUGCUCGAGUGGCGAACGGGUGAGUAACACGUGAGUAACCUGCCCUUGACUUUGGGAUAACUUCAGGUAACUGGGGCUAAUACCGGAUAGGAGCUCCUGCUGCAUGGUGGGGGUUGGAAAGUUUCGGCGGUUGGGGAUGGACUCGCGGCUUAUCAGCUUGUUGGUGGGGUAGUGGCUUACCAAGGCUUUGACGGGUAGCCGGCCUGAGAGGGUGACCGGCCACAUUGGGACUGAGAUACGGCCCAGACUCCUACGGGAGGCAGCAGUGGGGAAUAUUGCACAAUGGGCGGAAGCCUGAUGCAGCAACGCCGCGUGCGGGAUGACGGCCUUCGGGUUGUAAACCGCUUUCGCCUGUGACGAAGCGUGAGUGACGGUAAUGGGUAAAGAAGCACCGGCUAACUACGUGCCAGCAGCCGCGGUGAUACGUAGGGUGCGAGCGUUGUCCGGAUUUAUUGGGCGUAAAGGGCUCGUAGGUGGUUGAUCGCGUCGGAAGUGUAAUCUUGGGGCUUAACUCUGAGCGUGCUUUCGAUACGGGUUGACUUGAGGAAGGUAGGGGAGAAUGGAAUUCCUGGUGGAGCGGUGGAAUGCGCAGAUAUCAGGAGGAACACCAGUGGCGAAGGCGGUUCUCUGGGCCUUUCCUGACGCUGAGGAGCGAAAGCGUGGGGAGCGAACAGGCUUAGAUACCCUGGUAGUCCACGCUGUAAACGGUGGGUACUAGGUGUGGGGUCCAUUCCACGGGUUCCGUGCCGUAGCUAACGCUUUAAGUACCCCGCCUGGGGAGUACGGCCGCGAGGCUAAAACUCAAAGGAAUUGACGGGGCCCCGCACAAGCGGCGGAGCAUGCGGAUUAAUUCGAUGCAACGCGUAGAACCUUACCUGGGUUUGACAUGGAUCGGGAGUGCUCAGAGAUGGGUGUGCCUCUUUUGGGGUCGGUUCACAGGUGGUGCAUGCCUGUCGUCAGCUCGUGUCGUGAGAUGUUGGGUUAAGUCCCGCAACGAGCGCAACCCUUGUUCACUGUUGCCAGCACGUUAUGGUGGGGACUCAGUGGAGACCGCCGGGGUCAACUCGGAGGAAGGUGGGGAUGACGUCAAGUCCUCAUGCCCCUUAUGUCCAGGGCUUCACGCAUGCUACAAUGGCUGGUACAGAGAGUGGCGAGCCUGUGAGGGUGAGCGAAUCUCGGAAAGCCGGUCUCAGUCCGGAUUGGGGUCUGCAACUCGACCUCAUGAAGUCGGAGUCGCUAGUAAUCGCAGAUCAGCAACGCUGCGGUGAAUACGUUCCCGGG
rnacentral:rRNA from 1 species